AGAGGAAAGUUGUUGGCAUUUGGG
rnacentral:siRNA from 1 species